rnacentral:rRNA from 1 species
UGGGGAAUCUUCCGCAAUGGACGAAAGUCUGACGGAGCAACGCCGCGUGAGUGAUGACGGCCUUCGGGUUGUAAAGCUCUGUUAAUCGGGACGAAAGGUCUUCUUGCGAAUAGUUAGAAGAAUUGACGGUACCGGAAUAGAAAGCCACGGCUAACUACGUGCCAGCAGCCGCGGUAAUACGUAGGUGGCAAGCGUUGUCCGGAAUUAUUGGGCGUAAAGCGCGCGCAGGCGGAUCAGUCAGUCUGUCUUAAAAGUUCGGGGCUUAACCCCGUGAUGGGAUGGAAACUGCUGAUCUAGAGUAUCGGAGAGGAAAGUGGAAUUCCUAGUGUAGCGGUGAAAUGCGUAGAUAUUAGGAAGAACACCAGUGGCGAAGGCGACUUUCUGGACGAAAACUGACGCUGAGGCGCGAAAGCCAGGGGAGCGAACGGGAUUAGAUACCCCGGUAGUCCUGGCCGUAAACGAUGGGUACUAGGUGUAGGAGGUAUCGACCCCUUCUGUGCCGGAGUUAACGCAAUAAGUACCCCGCCUGGGGAGUACGGCCGCAAGGUUG